UGGGGAAUAUUGCGCAAUGGCCUAACGGCUGACGCAGCGACGCCGCGUGUGGGAUGACGCCUUCGGGUGUAAACCACUGUUGCUCGAGACGAAUAGCGAGCUUUAGCUCGCCUGACGGUAUCGAGUGAGGAAGCACCGGCUAACUCCGUGCCAGCAGCCGCGGUAAUACGGAGGGUGCGAGCGUUGUCCGGAACCACUGGGCGUAAAGGGCGCGUAGGUGGUCAGGUAAGGGUGUGGUGAAAGUCCGGGGCUCAACCCGC
rnacentral:rRNA from 1 species